CGAAGGCUGGAGGAGGACAACGCCCAGCUCGAGCUCCACAUCCGCGAGUGGUACAGGAAGCAAGCUCCCAGCGCCUCCAAGGACUACAGCUCCUACUACCAGACCAUCGAGCAGCUCCAAAACCAGAUCAUUUCUGCCACUGUGGACAACAACAGGAUGCUUCUGGACAUCGAUAACAGCAAGAUGACUGCUGAUGACUUCCGAAUGAAGUAUGAGAAUGAACUGGUCAUCCGUCAAACUGUGGAGUCUGACAUCAAUGGCUUGAGAAAUAUGCUGGAUGACCUGAC